rnacentral:misc_RNA from 1 species
GAAAUGCGAUAAGUAAUGUGAAUUGCAGAAUUCCGUGAAUCAUCGAAUCUUUGAACGCACAUUGCGCCCCCUGGCAUUCCGGGGGGCAUGCCUGUCCGAGCGUCAUUUCUGCCCUCAAGCGCGGCUUGUGUGUUGGGUGUGGUCCCCCCGGUGUUCGGGGGGGGACCUGCCCGAAAGGCAGCGGCGGCACCGCGUCCGGUCCUCGAGCGUAUGGGGCUUUGUCACCCGCUCGAUAAGGACCGGCCGGGCGCCAGCCGGCGUCUCCAACCUUUUUUUCUCAGGUUGACCUCGGAUCAGGUAGGGAUACCCGCUGAACUUAAGC